GCGGCGGCUAGUCGAGCACGACGACGACUUGGUACUCCUAACGGCUGGUCCUUUUAUUGCGGACCCUUAUCAAUUUUAUGUAUCCGCUUGAAUGCAGUUGCCGAGCGCAAGCCGUCGCGUCAACAUCGGAAUUUUUGGAACCCGGCUUCCCGGGGUUGGAGUGCUUUUGGUUUAACUUUUUUGGGGCAGUGAAGCUUGAAGUGGUGCAUUGUUUGGGUGGAAUUAGUAGGAAGUGGGAGGAAAAGACUGGACCCCACGGCUGGGACAUUAUGUAAUAAUUAAUUUCAAUUACGAACUAAUUAAAUUAAGCCGGGAAAGCAGUAAAUUUCAAUGUUGUUGCAAAUACUUAAAUAAAAACUUUCUCUGCUGCGUCGGUCGAAUUUAGGAUUCGUUUCCCGUAGGAUUACAUUGUGUCAUUUGGGGGGAUUAUCCUUGUGCUGGCAGACCGAAGAUCGCCGUUUAAUGUCCCAAUGGGAAAGUUUUCACCGUACAAUCGAAGCAAUUAAUUUGCAUCGUAAACAAGCGUGUGCAUCCACAAAGUGCAUCCCAAACCACGGAAUGAAUAAUAGUGCGGCUUGAGUGUUAUUCGAGCAUGGUAGAAUCCACCGAAUGCAGAACACGGUCGGAGUGGGAGGCGAAAAUAAAACGGGUCUAGUUCAUCAAAUUUAACAAUGCCUCUUCCGGAGGUUGAGACUGCAUUGCAUUGAUGGGAUCCGACAGUGCAGUGCGGUGCCAAUGAAGAGGCACGGCCAAUGUUCAGUCAGAUGCAAGGCUGCCAAGAGAAGGUGAGUUUUCAAUUGGUGCAGUUUGGAGCAGGACGAUUGCGAUAAGGACGCUCGCUGCAUUGUGGAUUGUGUGUUUAUAUGGAAGGAUUACGGGUUGCAGUCGAAGCGUGAAACAUCGACUAGCAAAUUGAAACGUGAACCGGAACGCAGUGCUUCGGUGUUAUGUUUGGUGAUUUAUGAAAAUAAAUAUUGAAUAAUUUGGUGCGUUUGGGAUGUACGAUGAAUUUUAACGAGUUUGAUGUGCAGAAAUGGAUGUGAAUGAGAUCUUCGAAAAAUGGGGUGAACAACUGAAAGUGAUUUGCCAAGAUACCUACUCAACCGGGGGUCGGAAGUGGAGCGGAAGGCAUUUUGAGGAAAUUAUUUCACUCAACAAAGAACCGAACCCGGUGCCCUAGUUGUUCCUGGUGGUCGUCGCUCGUCGUCGUCUCACGUUCCAGUAAAUCAUUUCGGGACAAUAACCUUCUUCGCUCCGUGAGUUGUUUCGUACUUUCGUUCGUCCCCCGAUCCCGUCGUCGUCAUUUUUUCUGCCCAGCGGCUAUCCAAAUAACAUCGAACGGAUAAGGUCGACGAAAUUUGCGGUGGAGGGGGUUGAAUAAUAUUUCACUUUCGGGGUGAUCUGUUGAAUUGUGGACGCGGCGAAGAGGACGAGAGGGGACGAAAAAAGGAAAAAUCUUGGAAGGAUCUUUUCUGCUUGUGAAAUAGCCGAUGGGACAAAACGGCUCGUGAAAAAGAAAGAAGAAAGUGAAAGUGAGUGAAAAACAAAUCUCCUAAACUGAUAGCUUUUCGUUGCAGCUUAAUAUUUUGAAGGAAAGCAUAUUUUCUAUCGUGUGUAAGAAGUGAAAAGGGUAAAACACGUGAGGAGUGUCUUUUGCAAGGCCGAGACGAAGCCAAAUUUAAAUUGUUUCUGCCAGGCGGAAAAUGUUCGGCUCCAAACUACGAUCAUGGAUGGAAAAUCACAUCGUGCGUCCGAGGAAAAAAGGAAACAAGAAUAAAAGUGGAAAUAGCAGGUUAGUAGAAUGGCUGAUAUAUUUUUGAACUUUAGGAAGCACUUC